AUUGAACGCUGGCGGCAUGAUUUACACAUGCAAGUCGAACGGUAACAGGCCGCAAGGUGCUGACGAGUGGCGAACGGGUGAGUAAUGCAUCGGAACGUGCCCAGUCGUGGGGGAUAACUACUCGAAAGAGUAGCUAAUACCGCAUACGAUCUAUGGAUGAAAGCGGGGGACCGUAAGGCCUCGCGCGAUUGGAGCGGCCGAUGUCAGAUUAGGUAGUUGGUGGGGUAAAGGCUCACCAAGCCAACGAUCUGUAGCUGGUCUGAGAGGACGACCAGCCACACUGGGACUGAGACACGGCCCAGACUCCUACGGGAGGCAGCAGUGGGGAAUUUUGGACAAUGGGCGCAAGCCUGAUCCAGCAAUGCUGCGUGCAGGAAGAAGGCCUUCGGGUUGUAAACUGCUUUUGUACGGAACGAAACGGCUCUGGUUAAUACCCGGGGCUAAUGACGGUACCGUAAGAAUAAGCACCGGCUAACUACGUG
rnacentral:rRNA from 1 species